rnacentral:lncRNA from 1 species
CUCAUCUCGCGACUUGCAAUAGUCUUUGUAAUCACUUUAACUAGACCAUAUCAGUCUCUAACACAGGCUGCAGCUGUAACUAGGCCCGGGCCUACACUACAUGUGUGAGCAUAUGCCAGGGAAUGCUUGUUCAAGGUAUGUCAGGUCAUUGGAUUCGUUCGUCGAGUUUCCAACUGAAACACAGCAAUUCGAAAGCCAUAACGUAUGUAAUAUAUUGUCAAUACGAAGUAAUUGUGAAUACAGCAAACUCCUCUAAUUCAAAUGGCCUAGGUUGUGUUUACCUUGUCUGCUACAGUAAAGCUGAAGAGCUAAUGAACUAGACUAGGGACCCUUCUGAGAAAGACUGAAGCUCUGAACUCAUUCAACCCCCUUUAAAAUGCCUGCGCUAAUCCCAAUAAAACUCAGCCAUUAUAAAUACACAAUUCAUAAAUUGCUUUGUGUGAAAUAUGCAACCCUCUAACCCCAUCCAUUUAAACUCAAAAGUCUCAUGUGUUGGCCUAUCGACAGGCUGGUUGGUUCUUCUUUCGCCUCUGUUUGUUGUUCCGAAUGAUCCAGCCACGGUUCUGAUGGUACCCAACUAAUCAAAGCUGUGAACCCACUCCUCAGCCAGUCAACGCCACGGUUCAAUCUCCAAAAAGUUGGAACAGACGUAAGAGAGAGGGAGAAAGAGAGAGGGAGGGAGAACGAGAAAAAGGCAGCAAGAAAAGUGAGGGACUUUUAGGGGCAGCUGUGUUUUAUUAACCCAGUCAUAAUGCCCCUAAAAAUCCUUAUUGCUCUUGCAAUGGUCAACAGAAUCUCCUAUAAGAACAAGUCUCUGUGUUAUGGGCGACACGCUCUUAUGGACAUAUUACAAGCUCUAUUAAAUCCAUUGGUCACAUUGUCAAGUCCCUGAAAGAUGUUCAGACAGUCUUGAAUCAAGUUGGAGGGCAUUGAAAAUUGAAUGGAAAAUGCUUAUUUGUUAUUCCCAACUGACGCAUUUCGACAUUACGGCCGUCGUCAGGGUGCUUUCCUAACUUGUCAAUGAAUUAGUCAAACAAAUCUAGUUAGAUGCAACUCUGCCCUCAGACGUUCUUAUCCGAAGUUCACGGCUCGUUCAAGGUGCUACAUCACGAUACAGCAACAGUUCCAACCUAGACAGAUAUGUAAGAGAGUUUUUAAUGGGGGAAAAAGAAACAGAAAUAGAUAUUUAAUUUAAUUGUUAUUUGUUUUUGUUUAUAUUGCAUUUGUUUUUAGGCAUAAGGGCAAUGAAAUGUACCAAUAUUUACGUAUAGUUGCAUGUUUUCCUAAACUUGGGUCCCAGGAAAACAUAGAAUUUCUCAUUUGGGUCCCAGGCUGAAAAAGUUGAAGAACCCCUUCUUUAGAUGAGUGGGAUGAUUCAAGAUCAGAGCACACUUUGCCCAGACAGAACUAUAGACAUCUUCACUAAUGAUAGCUAUGCGCCUAUGGAACCCUGACCUGUUCACCGGACGUGCUACCUUGUCCCAGACCUGAUGUUUUCAACUCUCUAGAGACAGCAGGAGCGGUAGAGAUACUCUGAAUGAUCGGCUAUGAAAAGCCAACUGACAUUUACUCCUGAGGUGCUGACCUGUUGCACCCUCUACAACCACUGUGAUUAUUAUUAUCUGACCAUGCUGGUCAUUUAUGAACAUUUGAACAUCUUGGCCAUGUUCUGUUAUAAUUUCCACCCGGCACAGCCAGAAGCGGAUUGGCCACCCCUCAUAGCCUGGUUCCUCUCUAGGUUUCGGCCUUUCUAGGGAGUUUUUCCUAGCCACCGUGCUUCUACACCUGCAUUGCUUGCUGUUUGGGUUUUAGGCUGGGUUUCUGUACAGCACUUUGUGAUACCAGCUGAUGUAAGAAGAGCUUUAUAAAUACAUUUGAUUCAAUUUGAUUGAUAAUGAUAGCUAUGUACCCUGCAGGUUGGCAGGAUGUCAUUAUCUCCCCAGUCUCCAUUGUUUAACAUGCAGACAAGUGAGCUAUAUGUCCUUACGUUUCUUGACUUUGCGCCAAAGGCCAGACAGAGAGACGUUCGAAGGAUUCUGAUCUGAUCCGGGUUGUGGUGUGGUGGGGUUGGAGAACUGUCUGAGAGGUGGAGGCUGGCUGGAGGAGGAGACGGAGAGGAGUGCUCCUCCGUGGGAGAACUGUCUGAGAGGUGGAGGCUGGCUGGAGGAAGAGACGGAGAGGAGUGCUCCUCCGUGGGAGUGAGUCAUCGCCUUCGGAGGCUAUUCAGUGAGUUCACUCUGGGAGGAUCGUGAUCCUUCGGUUGGUCGGUGAAUCCGCCGUCCUCCUCGCCACAGCCAGAGAGGGGCUGGGAAGGAAAGUGUGGGGGCCUGGCUGGGCUGAUGACUCAGGGCCACGCACCGCACAAGGAGUGAGGGAGGAGGGGAGGGAGGAAUUACUCAGCUGUAUGAGAUUCCACAUGCUCUAUCACAGGACAGACACUGUGCUUCUACUAGGCUCUGAGGCUCUGUAGAAGUCUGUUCUUAGACAGAGUGGUAAUGGCAGUGGUAAGACGGCUAAGGGCCAUUGGUUUCCAUUGAAGAGGAACAGAACAGAGAAGUAUAUUCUCGUACUCGCACUUUGAAACAAAGUCAUGCCCCCCUUCUUAUUGAAUGAAUUACGUCUUUCUAUUACAGCAAGUCGGUGCAGGUUUGAAGCUCUGCAACUCCAGCAAAGUAAUUAAGCAUUGCAUGCUGUCAAAAUAUUCCAUUACAAAAGUCUUGAAGAUUUGGGAAGUGUCUCCGAUGACUAUCUAGAUGCGAGGGGGAGGUGAGUUGGGCCGUUUAUUGUCCAGUUCUUCCUGUUUCUUUCUUGAGUGAUGAUGCUCCUCCUCCAGCUCUGUCAUUGGAGAAAUCCUUUCAAAUAACAAAGCUUCAUUGAGUGAUGAUGACAAACAUUUCCAGAAAGAGAAUGUGAGUGAUGAGAGAACUACCUGUGUGACAUGCAAUACGGACUCUCUAUGCGCCCCCCUCUAGUGUGAGUCAUCAGGCCUAAAGACGCCGGGCUGUGAGUGGUGAAUCAGGUGUUGAUAAUGGCCGACAGGUGGAGGCUGGUGUGUGUUGGGUGUGUGUAUUGUGUGCAGUGUGUGCAUGUAUUGUUGCGUGCAUGUAUUGUGUGAUGUGAGUGUGGAGGGAGGUUAUGAUGUGUGUGUCUCCAUGAAGGGGGGUUGAUGUUGUGUGAUGCAUGACUCAACAGGAGAGAAGGCCACACCCAUGGGACGAGCCCAGGCUCCCUUCAGCGGUGGCAUGGGCCUAGAUCUCACUGACUAUGGGUGCCAUGGUUAAAGUGUAUUGGCCUAACUGAUGGCGCUCAAACACUUGAAGAGCCACUCAAAUCCUGCACAAACACUCCGACACAAAGGCAGAGAGGCUGGGCGAGAAAGUGGAGCACACCUUCACCUCCGCUGUAUCCCCCUUUAUAAAUAAACUCUUCCAACCUGAUUUCAGCCAACCAGCUACUGAGAGUCUGGGCCCGUAUUCACAAAGCGUCUCAGAGUAGCAGUGCUGAUCUAGGAUCAGGUUCCCCCUGUCCAUACAAUCAUAUUCAUUAUGAUCUAAAAGGCAAAAAACUGAACCUAGAUCUGCACUCCUACUCUGAGACACUUUAUGAUAGGGACAACCCAGAGUAAACAGAACGACUUAACCAUGUGUUGCAUCUCCAUAAUGGUAAUUUCCUCCAGUAAUUACUAAUCAUUAAAGGUCUCACUCCCAAUCACCUGGUUAGUGUUUAUAAUACGGUCUGCCUUGGUAAAUUCCCAUCAUUCUGAAAUAGCCUGAUUGUGUUUAAUUGGAGCAUUCACUAAACAGAGUCCACCCACCAGCAUCAACAAAUCCAAUGUAUUUUAACAGCAGGGAACAAUUUAAUCCGCCUCCAUAUAUCACCAUUGUAAACAACCAAGACGCAGAGCCCAAUGUUGCACAAUGAGCCUGAGUUGAGGAGGAGGAAGAGUUGAAAGGUCAGGUAAACACUUGUCCCAGGCUUUCCCUGCCUUUUUAAUCAGGACUCCUGUCCAUUUCUAUCUUGGUUAGAUCUCUUGACUUAUGGCUGUGUACACUAAUGCUGCACUUCUGGCGGCUCCUUAACUCACUGUUUGGUUUGUUUCAUAUGGACGGGAAUGUCAAGUUGCUUGUUGGCCUGGAGGCUUGUGCGCUGAGUCGCCGACAAAGCAUGGAAUGAAUCCUUUGCAGGCUAAUGGGCGGGCCAACCUUUUCCAGUGUUUGUCAUGGUGAGUUUGUUUGCAUAUAUGCGUACCUCAUAUUCAUAUUCAGUGCAAACUUUAGUGCUUGUGUGUUUCCAUUCUGUGAAUAUAGGUCCUCAAAGCCCAACGUGGUCCAGUUUCAGAGAAAACUGCCCCAUUCAGCACAAAUAUUAUGGAAGACCAUAUAGAUACUUCUCCACCCUCCUUGUCCUCGCCAACCAGCCAUGGGGGAGAUGCUGACAGAUUUCUAGUUGUUUUCUGGCAAUUUGGGGUCAACGAUGCAUGUUAGCAAACCUCGCCGGCUCUCUUAGUUUGCAUUGCAAAACCAGGAGGCACCCGACGUGCACCGUACACAGCACUCUGUUGGGUGACUGGCAUGUGUCUGAUGAUGCUUGAUGCUUUAGAUGUGGUUGUGGCCGUUGAAUGAGGCGUUCACAGUAAAUUAAAUGUUGUCAGGGGUCUGUAUAGCUUUUACGCUAAAACGGACUUCGCAGAAUAAGGCACAGAUGCUCAACCGUUCAAAUCUCUGCACACUAAGGGGAGACAACCUUGCUACCUCAAAUAGCCUCCUGCAGUCUUCAAGGACUGGUGAGUGGGGCUGGUGAACUUAAUGAGAUUUUCAUGGUUUCUGAAGUAUCUCUGGGAUUUCUCAGUCGGUCUCAACAGCACAGCAUGAAGCUACAGCUUGAAGACCCACGGUCUAGUCCUCCUUGUCCAGCCUGGCUCAGUUGAUAGGACGACAUGACCGGAAUCCAUCUUCCUCAAAACCCCUCUUACAUUACGUUAGAAAGGUCUUCCGCCCCUCUGAAAACUGUCAAUGGAGCUCCUUCAAAAUCACAGAGAAAACAUGAUUGUUCCUCUUUGGUCUUUAUGUUGGCAAACCCCCUUCGUCUUGAAGGAGAAGCAAAAUCCAUGUAUAGUCCGUUUCAGGGGGAAAAUGUGUGUGUAGCACAAUGGUUCUACAGGGCCGAACAAAGAGCUGUUUUAUGUAGGCGCUAGAUUGAGGUCUGUGGAUCACAAUGUGACAAGGCAGACCUCAGAAGACGCUUGCCCAGCAGCUAGUGAUGUGCCUUCUUAUUCUUGGAGCCACUCUCUCAUUCCAGGGCAUGGAAACCCUUGGCCUGGCCAUCCAUAUCCGCCCAACUCCAAAACCCACAGUGCUGCCCAUGUAUAAGCAAAGAGGGCAAGUGUUUUUUUUCAUGACACCUACAUUUCUUUUUCUUUUGUGGACAGCAUCCUUCGCUCCCCCUUUUGCUUUUUGUUAUUCCACAAGUCUUUGUCUUGGCCAGUUCCUGUGCACAUAGCUCUGUGGGAUCUGAGGCGUCACACACUGUGGGGAUGUUUUUUUGGUCAUGUGACCUCUAGAGUUGACACUGGCAUCGAUCCUCCGACCGUCUGUCCGUUUCACACUCCAACACUGCCAGUAGGAUCUUUUGACUUCCUUGACUUCCCUUUUAGUUUGUAGUGGAGUAAAGGGGCUUUACAGCGCUUCUACAUUGAAACCCUGUUUUGGAAUGCUUUCUUUAGAUCAGUGGUCAUAAACAGGUCGAUCUCCAAGGCAUUCCUAGUCACUCGCCAAAUAUUUCUGGGAAAAACCCAACAAUAAGCCUUGCGUUCCUAUUUUUUAUUUUUUUGUCUCACGCUGUUGUUGGUAGGUGCACCCGAUUCAGCUGCCCUGCGCGCCAGGUAUGUGAUGUGUUCCCAUUUUAUAUGUCUGAAGGUAGAAACUCUGCCUUCCCGGGGGGAGCAAAUCAAGUGCACUAUAGGCCUACCAAUCAGAGGACUGUCUGCAGUAACAUAGCAGGCAUAAAAGAAAGCUACAGCAAAGGUGAUACAGAUGGUAGUGUGUACGGCCCAGUACAUCACUGGGGCCAAGCUUCCUGCCAUCCAGGAUCUAUAUACCAGGCGGUGUCAGAGGAAGGCCCCAAAAAUUGUCAAAGACUCCAGUCACCCAAGUCAUAGACUGUUCUCUCUGCUACCGCAUGGCAAGCGGUACCGGAGCGCCAAGUCUAGGACCAAAAGGCUCCUUAACAGCUUCUACCCCCAAGCCAUAAGACUGCUGAUCAAUUAAUCAAAUGGCCACCCGGACUAUAUACAUUGACCCCCCCUCCCUUUGUUUUUAGACUGCUGCUACUCGCUGUUUAUUAUCUAUGCAUAGCCACUUUAAAAAUUGCCUCGACAAACCUGUACCCACGCACAUUGACUCGGUACCGGUGUCCCCUGUAUAUAGCCCCAUUGUUAUGCAAUUGUCUUGUUACUUUUUGAUUUUAUAACUUUUUUUUAUUUUCGUUUAUUUAGUAAAUAUUUUCUUAACUCUAUUUCUAGAUCUGCAUCGUUGGUUAAGGGCUUGUAAGCAUUUCACUGUAAGGUCUACACCUGUUGUAUUCGGCGCAUGUGACAAAUAACAUUUGAUUUGAAGACUGUGUCCCUUUUUGGUCAGUGUCAGAUGAGGACCCUAAGUCUGCUGCUCUCUCCCUCCGCUGAGACUGACCAUCAGAUGCAGGCUCCAUCAGCCUAGUAAAAUUGUAAUUAUUGAAGCGUAUGCUCAUUCAGCUGUGCCUCACAAUAAUACAACAACUGAUCUAUUACCGGUGUGAUCAUAUAGCCUACCUUAAAUGUUGAAAUAUAAUUGUAAAAAAGGGUCUGAGAAGCAAAGCCAAUAUGCAGUGAUAACGUAUUGGGCCUAUAGCCUACUGCACAAACCUCAUUACUACAGUACUGUUUUUAAUAAGUUAAUGUUGCCUAGGCUUACAUUUUUAAAUCAUGUACAAAAAAAAACGGUUGAACAGUAGAUCUCGGCUUGCAUUUUGACUCAGAAAUUGAUCGACUCAGAAAAGGUAUGUGACCACCUGCUUUAGAUCAUUCCAGAUGAUCCCUGCCUUCUUCGUCUUUUAUUAUUCCUCUUCAUCCUCUUCAUUGUCUUCAUCUUCUUCUCAGUAAAUAGGUUUUAUUCAGUAGCCAACUGUUGCAUCAAUGCAUGCCACCAUUUCCAGAACAUGGCUGUAGAUUACUUCUGAAGUCGAGUAAUAUUUAUGAUGUAACACACCACACAACUGCAGUCUUUCGAAGCUUUAGCAGCCUCCGCCACGGCCAUUUUAGAUAUAUAAAGUUAAUGAAGAAGUUGUAUUGGAGUAAACACUCCGUUCCCAGAGCUAGAGAGAAGAAAAUUUAUGUAGUGCCGUAAAUUGAACUCAACUUUGCCUCGUUCAUGAACCCCCCCCCAAGAAGAACCUGUUCCAACAAGCGAAACACUUUCCAGCUAAGCUAACACAAAGGCCCUUUAACGUAACAUAAGAUCAUUGGUUUUCAAUUAUGAGAUACCAAUUUAAACCAGGUUAGCCUCUGUCAAAGUCUGAGAAACGCUUGAAAAGUGUCGGACAUAACCAUAUAAAGGUAUUUUCUCUAAAUACUUUGAUACAGUGCUUUCAGAAAGUAUUCACACAACUUGACUUAUUCCACAUUUUGUUGUGUUACAGCCUGAAUUUAAAAUGGAUUAAAUUCAGAUGUUCUGUCACUGGCUUACACACAAUACUCCAAACAGACAGGCCUGGAUGAGAUCUUUAAGGUCAGGGCCCUCCGCAAGGCUCACAAAAUCAUUUUAGACCCAAGCCACCCCCUGUACCCGGACUUUGAACUACUCCCCUCUGGGCGCAGGUAUAGGGAACCCCUCAGCAGGAAAAACAGAACUAGACAAUCAUUUGUGCCAGGUGUGAUAUCCCUCCUAAAUACCUCCGGCUAAUGUUCCUAUCGACUCAGUAAGGCCAGCAGGCUAGUCUUUUUUCAUUUUUAAAAUGUUUUAUUGGUAUGUAACUGUUAUGAAAGUUGUAUUGUCCAUUUUGUUUUGUAUUUAAAUGCCACUUUAAACGUGUACAUGACACUGCAACAAAAUUUCCCCAUGGGGACAAUAAAGUCAGUAAGUAAGUAAUGUCAAAGUGGAAUUUUUACAAAUGAAUUAAAAAUAAAAAUCUAAAAUGUCUUUAGUCAGUAAGUAUUCAACCUCUUUGUUAUGGCAAGCUUAAAUAAGUUCAGGAGUAAAAAUGUGCUUAACAAGUCGCAUAAUAAUUUGUAUGGACUCACUCUGUAUGCAAUAAGUGUUUAGCAUAAUUUUGUUAUGACAACCUCAUCUCUGUACCCCACACAUACAAUUGUGUGUAAGGUCCCUCAGUCGAGCAGUGAAUUACAAACACCGAGACCAGGGAGGUUUUCUAAUGCCUCACAAAGAAGGGACACCUAUUGGUAGAUACAUAAAAUAAAAAAAGCACCUUUGAGCAUGGUGAAGUUAUUAAUUACACUUUGGAUGGUGCAUCAAUACACCCAGUCGCUGCAAAGAUACAGGUGUCCUUCAUAACUCCGUUUUUGAAGAGGAAGGAAAAUGCUCAGGGUUUUCACUAUGAGGCCAAUGGUGCCAUUAAAACAGUUACAGAGUUGGCUGUGAUAGGAGAACUGAGGAUGGAUCAACAACAUUGUAGUUACUCCACAAUACUAACCUGAAUGAAAAGAGUGAAAAGGAAGCCUGUACAGAAAAAAAAUUAUUCCAAAACAUGUUUGCAAUAAUGCACUAAAGUAAAACUUCAAAACAUGUGGCAAAAAUGUUAACAUUUUGUUCUGAAUACACAGCGUUAUAUUUGGGGAAAAUCCAGCACAACACAUCACUGAGUACCAGUCUUCAUAUUUUCAAGCAUGGUGGGUGUCUGCAUCAUGUUAUGAAUAUGGUUGUCAUUGGCAAGGACUAGGGAGUUUCUUUCGGAUAAAAAUAAACAGAAUAGAGCUAAGCACAGGCAAAAUCCUAGUAGAAAACCUGGUUCAGUCUGCUUUCCAAAAGACACUUGGAGACAAAUUCACCUUUCAGCAGGACAAUAACCUAAAAAAGGCCAAAUAUACACUGGAGUUGCUUACCAAGACGUCAUUGAAGGUUUCUGGGGGGCCUAGUUAUUUUCUUUAACUUAAAUCUGCUUGAGAAUCUAUAGCAAGACUAGCAAUGAUCAACAACCAACUUGACAGAGCUUGAAUAAUUUUGUUAAUAAUUUAAUAAUGUGCAAAUAUUAUACAAUCCAGGUGUGUAAAGCUCUUAGAGACUUACACAGAAAUACUUACCACUGUAAUCGCUGCCAAAGGCAAUUCUAACAUGUAUUGACUCAGGGGUGUGAAUACUUAUGUAAAUGAGACAUUUCUGUAUUUCAUUUUCAAUACAUUUACAAACAUUUCUAAAAAACAUGUUUUCACUUUAUCAUUAUGGGGUAUUGUGUGUAGAUGGGUGAGAAUAAAAUCUAUUGAAUGCAUUUUGAAUUCAGGCUGUAACACAACAACAUGUGGAAGGGUAUAUAUGAAUACUUUCUGAAGACACUGUAUAUCUGACAGAAAACACCUUCACACACACACACACACACACACACACGUCGACCCUGGGUGUCUGCUGAGGUGUUGACGGGGGGAUUGGCUGCCGAGGAACAGAGACUGCAACCAAUUAGCAUACAGAGUAGUGAUGUAGCCUCGAAUGCCCUCUGGUUAACAGAGAGGAUAGCAUGAACACACCACACUUUCUCUAUUCUCUCUAUCUAUCUUCAUCUCUUCCUUUUUCUCUCUCUUUUUCCUCUCCCUCCUCAGGUUCAGACAGUCUAAAGGCCUUGUGAUCCGACUGAGCCCUGGCUUUGUGGGAUACUCUAGGACUCCAGCAUUAAGAUAAUGAGACAGUCACGGUGGGGCUAGUUUUCCAGGAAGUCAACCGGAGUAGUGAGAAUCUUUAAACUACUCUCAAGUCUCAUUCAGAGAGAGAGAGCGAGAGAGAGAGAUAACCCUGUGGUGGGCGUAAGUAAGAGGAUGGAUGGUUUAAUUGGGCGAAGAGAAUGAAAUGGAUUCAUUUCUGGUUUGUUUAAAAGGCGUAGUAGUAAUUAGAGGUGGGAACAGAGUAGUAUUAGCAGCAGAGGUGGGAGAGAAGUGAAAGCUCAACAUUUCCCAUUAGAAACGGCAUCUAGGCCGGUCAUGUGUGUUAAAUAGCCAUCUGAUUGGCUGACUGACUACUGUUGUGUAGGUCUGUUAUACUGUACAGAGCAUUAGGUAGUCAUGAGCUUAGAGAAUCAACUCCCUUGUAAACCAGAUGACCAUCUCAGUGGGACUCGCCAGGUUAAAUAAAGGAUAGAUCAAAUAAAUAAAGGCGGCACUUUCCUCUCAUGCAGGCUGCAGUUUACUAUGGUGUGGAGUGGGACAUGGGAUGGGAUGGCUGGGUGAGAUUUACUACACUAGUAGAGUUACAAGGGGCUGGAGUGAAGUGGUGCUUUUCUCUCUCCUCCCUUUUUCUAUGCAGCUGCCUGGUAUGUGGGUCACACCAUGAUUUUUUUUGUGUGUGUGUGUGUAGUGUGUUUUCACCUGCCUGUAUGUAUGCUCCUCUAUUCGUGUGUGUCUGUACCUCGGCGUGUACGUGUGUGUGUGUGUGUGCUCGUGCGCGCUCCUAUGUGUGUAUGUACCUCUCGCCAGACAGGGGGAGAUAUUUAAGUGUGACACGCUCCAUGGCCUGUUUGCCUUACUCCGAAGCCAUCAAGAGAAGUGUUCACAUCCCUCACCUAGGCCAGGGAGGAAGGAUAUUUUUGAUGAAGUGGAGGGCUGAAUUUAGGCCCAGGCAUUCUCAGUAUCUGUCACCCAACUCCAAUAGAUCACCGUGCAGUGUGUUGCCCUGAGGAAGUGUGUGUCCGUGUUUACUCCCUCCCUCCCAGGUUCAGGUUGCUUUGAGCUGAGCCCAGUAAAUAUACACAGUGCCUUCAGAAAGUAUUCAUACCCCCCGACGUAUUCCACAUGUUGUUGUGUUACAGCCUGAAUUCAAAAUUGAUUCAAUUGAUUUUUCUUCUCACCCAUCUACACACAAUUCCCCAAAUACUUCCAAAGUGAAAACAUGUCUUUAGACAUUUCAGCACAUUUUUUGAAAAUGAAUUGAAUGUUAGAAUCACCUUUGGCAUCAACUACAGCUGUGCGUUUUUCUGGGUAAGUCUCUAAGAACUUUGCACACCUAGAUUGUACAAUAUUUGCACAUCAUUAUUUUUUUAAUUCUUCAAGCUCUGUCAAGUUGGUUGUUGAUCAUUUCUAGUCAACCAUUUUCAAGUCUUGCCAUAGAUUUAGUGCCUUAUUGCAAACAGGAUGCAUGUUUUGGAAUACUUGUAUUCUGUACAGGCUUCCUUCUUUCCCCUCUGUCAUUCAGGUUAGUAUUGUAGAGUAACUACAAUGUUGUUGAUCCAUCCUCAGUUUUCUCCUAUCACAGCUAUUAAACUCUGUAACUUUUUGGCCUCAUGUUGAAAUCCCUGAGAGGUUUCCUUCCUCUCCAGUAACUGAGUUAGGAAGGGUGCCUGUAUUUAUGUAGUGACUGGGUGUAUUGAUACACCAUCCAAAGUGUAAUUAAUAACUUCACCAUGCUCAAAGGCAUAUUCAAUGUCUGAUUUUUAAAAUGUAUUCUUCAUCUACCAAUAGGUGCCCUUCUUUGGGAGACAUUGGAAAACCUCCCUGGUCUGUGUUGUUGAAUCUGUGUUUGAAAUUCACUGCUCGACUGAGGGACCUUACAGAUAAUUGUAUGUGUGGGGUACAGAGAUAGUCAAGUCAAAAACAUUGUUAAACACUGUUAUUGAACACAGUGUGAGUCCAUGCAACUUAUUAUUUGGCUUGUUAAGCAUAUUUUUACUCCUGAACUUAUUUAGGCUUGCCAUAACAAAGGGGUUGAUGACUUUUCAGCUUUUCAUUUUUAAUUAAUUUGUAAAAUGUAGAAAAACAUACUUUGACAUUUUGACAUUAUGGGGUAUUGUGUAUAGGCCAGUGACACAAAAUCUAAAUUUAAUCAAUUUUAAAUUCAGGCUGUAACACAAGAAAAUGUGGAAAAAGUUAAGGGGUGUCAAUACUUUCUGAAGGCACUGUACACAGUGACACUUGCUUUCCCUUCCUAAAGUGUCACUACAUUUACUUCCCUACUAAGCUGGACUACAUCAUUUCAACUUCCAGUAUGUAUUGAGCUGUUUGGAUGGACUUUAAAGUCCUCAGGUUGUGGUGCUCAUGUACUGUAUCUUCGGUCGACUACAGAGUAUGUUGAAUAUGGCAGGGAAACUCACUGCGCUGUAUGUAUUUUUGAACAAUGCCAUAACAAUGUCAUCUGCCCUGUUUAGAGUGGUUUACCAGAUGGCUUCCAUGGUGUUUCUCAACCUCCACCAAAUAGGGAAUUGCCAUUGACAGCAAGUAAACAACCAGAACACCAACUGCCGCCAAUGUAAACACCUUAAGGUAGCAUGUGCCUCAGCUACAUUCAAAACUUCAGCAGCAGUUGUCAGGUAAAAACAACAUCCUCCUUACACUACCUCUCAAAUGCUACCUCUCACAACCCAGAGUCAACUCUUACAAUCUCGAUCCCAAAAUGUUGAAUUAACGUUGAAUGAAUGUAUUCUCACUGUAUACAUAUUAUCCGUAUAGGCUGGGUUAAAGGUCAUGAAGCAUCCAGUGACGGGUGGAAAUGAAGACCACACAGCUUGAAGAGAUCAGGUUGAAGAGGGAGGACAUAUUUAACUUGUGGGUCAUAGGUCAAAGGCUGAACUCUCUCCCUCUACCUUUCCAUCUCCGCUGCUCUCUUUCACUCUCACCUUUCUCCUUCCCUCUUUCUAUCACCCCACCUCUCUCUCUCUUUCUUUACCUACAUGUAUACUCCUCUCUUUUCCUCUUCUGACCCCCCCUCUUUCUCCUUCAUUCUCACCCUCUCUCUCAGCCUGGCUGUUAUUUCUCCAUGUGUUUUGACUAUGUGCUACCUGAGCUGGUCUGUGCUGUGGGCCUGUGGCAGGUCUCUGGCAGGCAGCAGUGUCAAGUUGGAGGGAGGCUUGGUGGUCUGUGUGUGACAUGGAGAAAGGCCCACCGGCACCGCAGCAGCCCCGCUGAGGCCAGGUCUACAGCUGUCCCACCCUGCCAGGGCCUCUGCUUACAGUCACUAUCAAUCCAGCUGAUCCAGAAGCAGCCCGACCUUGACCUGACAGAUCAACAAUGCUCUCUCUCUCUUCAUUAUUGGCGAGAUGUUUGGACACAGCUUGUAGCAGGGUGAUGAGGCCAGAACUAUUGGAUUUCAUAACCCUAUAAUACUAUAGUCCAAUCAUUGAAAUGCUUUACUUUAGAACAGAAGCUUUUGCUAAUUAAAUCAAUACAAUUGUCCUGUUGUUUGUUCUACAGCAAGGAGAACAUCCCCUGAAGGUGUGUGUGUGUGUGUGUGUGUGUGUGUGUGUGUGUGUGUGUGUGUGUGUGUGUGUGUGUGUAUUUAGUGUAGUCGCAGGUGUUGUGUACAUAUGUGUUCAUGCAUAUAUGUGUUUGUCAAUGUAAUACAGAAUCUCAUGCAACAAUUACCGGAUGGAAUGCUCCUUGGUCCACAGGAGAGGAUGGAUGGAGAGAAGACGGAUGGAGACUAAAGAUGGAUGGAUAGAGGAUAGAAACUAGAGAUGGAUGGAGAGAGACUAGAGAUGGAUUGAGAGAGGCGUGGGUGUGGAUAAAUGGCAACCCAGACCAUACACACCCACUCACAGGGACCUAACACCACUCACAGGACUGCUGCUUGGUCCACUGCUACCACAUGCUAAAACACUUAGAUACAACACACACACACACACACACACACACACAAGAUAGCAAAAUGCUCAAUGUGACGUUCACAUUCAAAAUACAUUCCCGAGACACAGACUACCAGUCAGAGACAUAAACACACGUUAUUGUGUGUGUUGUUGCCAUGCGAUGGUGAUGAGCAGCACAUGACAUGAAUGGGGCGUGGAGCCCAACCUCGUAUCAGACAAAGGAGAUACACAGAGAGGAGGGAAGGGGAGAAAAGGAGAGGAGGAGGGUAAUGGGGUAGGAGGGGGGAGAGGAAGGGGACGUGCCGCCCCAGACUGCAGUCAUGAGGUCUCCAUCCCGUUCGACACGCCGAGUCUCGUGGGUAAAAGGCCAUAAAAACAAAAACUUUGCAAUAUAGCUAAAACCCCCCUCACAUACAGUCAAGAGUUACAACACACACACACAGGAACCGGACUGCGUAGAUCAAUGCCAUUCGCCCCGGGAGUACCCCUUUGGCUUUGAGUUGAGGAAGUCCAGACAAGCUAUUUCACACACGCUGUUCAUGUGAUCCCAUAAAUUCACUUCCUUUUCUGUAUGUCUUGACCGAAAAGUUGCAUUUGUCAAUAAAAUGUUUGAUUUGCAAGUA